AUGGACCAAUCCAUCCCUUUUUCCCGUGCACAUGCAUCGGACUCGGAUGACGAUGGUCCCGAUGAAGAAGUUGAUGAGGAGGGGUUCACGCCGAAGGAGGCCCAAGCAUUCAAGAAGGUAUUCGGGCGGCAUCACAAGACACCAUUGUUCAAGGAUCUUAGUCUCGCGGAUGAAGCCGUUGUGGAUGGUGGCAAAUGCAUAUCUCUUGGAGCUAGGCCAAGUUCUCACCGUUAUUUGGAAGACGGCAAGAACGGGAUAUAUCCCGGUUGA
rnacentral:rRNA from 1 species